rnacentral:rRNA from 1 species
AAACUUAAAGGAAUUGACGGGGGCCCGCACAAGCGGUGGAGCAUGUGGUUUAAUUCGAUGGUACGCGAGGAACCUUACCAGGGCUUGACAUACGUUGGAAGCGCAUCGAAAGGUGCGUGCCGCUUGCGGCCGGCGUACAGGUGCUGCAUGGCUGUCGUCAGCUCGUGCUGUGAAGUGUUGGGUUAAGUCCCAUAACGAGCGCAACCCCUACUGCUAGUUGCCAGCGGGUCAUGCCGGGGACUCUAGCGGAACUGCCAGCGUAAGCUGCGAGGAAGGUGGGGAUGACGUCAAAUCAGCACGGCCCUUACGUCCAGGGCUACACACGUGCUACAAUGGCCGGUACAGAGCGCAGCGAGGCCGCGAGGCGGAGCGAAUCGCUUAAAGCCGGUCCCAGUACGGAUUGGAGUCUGCAACCCGACUCCAUGAAGUUGGAAUCGCUAGUAAUCGCGCAUCAGCAUGGCGCGGUGAAUACGUUCCCGGGCCUU